ACGCUGGCGGCAGGCCUAACACAUGCAAGUCGAGCGCGCCUUCGGGCGAGCGGCGGACGGGUUAGUAACGCGUGGGAACGUGCCCAGAUCUACGGAAUAGCCACUGGAAACGGUGAGUAAUACCGUAUACGCCCUUUGGGGGAAAGAUUUAUCGGAUUUGGAUCGGCCCGCGUUAGAUUAGGUAGUUGGUGGGGUAACGGCCUACCAAGCCUACGAUCUAUAGCUGGUUUUAGAGGAUGAUCAGCAACACUGGGACUGAGACACGGCCCAGACUCCUACGGGAGGCAGCAGUGGGGAAUCUUGGACAAUGGGGGCAACCCUGAUCCAGCCAUGCCGCGUGAGUGAAGAAGGCCCUAGGGUCGUAAAACUCUUUCGCCUGUGAUGAUAAUGACAGUAGCAGGUAAAGAAACCCCGGCUAACUCCGUGCCAGCAGCCGCGGUAAUACGGAGGGGGUUAGCGUUGUUCGGAAUUACUGGGCGUAAAGCGCACGUAGGCGGAUUAGAAAGUUAGAGGUGAAAUCCCGGGGCUCAACCCCGGAACUGCCUUUAAAACUACUAGUCUAGAGUUCGAGAGAGGUGAGUGGAAUUCCGAGUGUAGAGGUGAAAUUCGUAGAUAUUCGGAGGAACACCAGUGGCGAAGGCGGCUCACUGGCUCGAUACUGACGCUGAGGUGCGAAAGUGUGGGGAGCAAACAGGAUUAGAUACCCUGGUAGUCCACACCGUAAACGAUGAAUGCCAGUCGUCGGGUAGUAUACUAUUCGGUGACACACCUAACGGAUUAAGCAUUCCGCCUGGGGAGUACGGUCG
rnacentral:rRNA from 1 species